rnacentral:tRNA from 1 species
GCUCUUUUAGCUUAAUAAAAGCAUAAUACUGAAAAUAUUAAAAUAUUAUUUUUAAUAAUUUAGAGCA